rnacentral:rRNA from 1 species
UACGUUCCCGGGCCUUGUACACACCGCCCGUCACGCCAUGGAAGCCGGGAGUACCCGAAGUCCGCGGCCCAACCCGCUAAGGGAGGGAGCGGCCGAAGGUAAAUUCGGUGACUGGGGCGAAGUCGUAAACAAGGUACC